rnacentral:misc_RNA from 1 species
CAACCCUCAGGCCCCCGGGCCUGGCGUUGGGGAUCGGCGGAGCCCCCCGUGGGCACCCGCCGUCCCCUAAAUACAGUGGCGGUCCCGCCGCAGCUUCCAUUGCGUAGUAGCUAACACCUCGCAACUGGAGAGCGGCGCGGCCACGCCGUAAAACACCCAACUUCUGAA